GGGCCUCUUGCCAUCAGAUGUGCCCAGAUGGGAUUAGCUWGUUGGUGAGGUAACGGCUCACCAAGGCGACGAUCCCUAGCUGGUCUGAGAGGAUGACCAGCCACACUGGAACUGAGACACGGUCCAGACUCCUACGGGAGGCAGCAGUGGGGAAUAUUGCACAAUGGGCGCAAGCCUGAUGCAGCCAUGCCGCGUGUAUGAAGAAGGCCUUCGGGUUGUAAAGUACUUUCAGCGGGGAGGAAGGUGUUGUGGUUAAUAACCYCAGCAAUUGACGUUACCCGCAGAAGAAGCACCGGCUAACUCCGUGCCAGCAGCCGCGGUAAUACGGAGGGUGCAAGCGUUAAUCGGAAUUACUGGGCGUAAAGCGCACGCAGGCGGUCUGUCAAGUCGGAUGUGAAAUCCCCGGGCUCAACCUGGGAACUGCAUUCGAAACUGGCAGGCUUGAGUCUUGUAGAGGGGGGUAGAAUUCCAGGUGUAGCGGUGAAAUGCGUAGAGAUCUGGAGGAAUACCG
rnacentral:rRNA from 1 species